UGGGGAAUAUUGCGCAAUGGGGGAAACCCUGACGCAGCGACGCCGCGUGCGGGAUGAAGGCCUUCGGGUUGUAAACCGCUUUUGAUUGGGAGCAAGCUUUCGGGUGAGUGUACCUUUCGAAUAAGCGCCGGCUAACUACGUGCCAGCAGCCGCGGUAAUACGUAGGGCGCAAGCGUUAUCCGGAAUUAUUGGGCGUAAAGAGCUUGUAGGCGGUUCGUCGCGUCUGGUGUGAAAGCCCAUCGCUUAACGGUGGGUUUGCGCCGGGUACGGACGAGCUAGAGUGCAGUAGGGGAGACUGGAAUUCUCGGUGUAACGGUGGAAUGUGUAGAUGUCGGGAAGAACACCAAUGGCGAAGGCAGGUCUCUGGGCUGUUACUGACGCUGAGAAGCGAAAGCGUGGGGAGCGAACAGG
rnacentral:rRNA from 1 species